GCGGCGGUGGUGGAACGGCAGACACGCCAGCUUGAGGGGCUGGUGCCCGCAAGGGUGUGGGGGUUCAAAUCCCCCUCGCCGCA
rnacentral:tRNA from 1 species